GGUUGUGUAGUGUAGUGGUUAUCACUUCAGAUUGUUUGUGCUCCAUUCGCUACCUAUUUACCUUCUAUAAUUUACUAAUCCUAUCUAGUUGAUUAUAACUCACCUUCUGAUAACCCCGUCGAACCCGGGCACGACCU